UUAAGUGACUAAGCGUACACGGUGGAUGCCUUGGCAGUCAGAGGCGAUGAAAGACGUAGUAACUUGCGAUAAGCCCAGAUUAGGUAGUAACAACCAUUUGAGUCUGGGAUUUCUGAAUGGGGAAACCCACGUGCAUAAGCACGUAUCCUUACCUGAAUACAUAGGGUAAGGAGGCGAACCGGGGGAACUGAAACAUCUAAGUACCCCGAGGAAAAGAAAUCAACCGAGAUUCCGAAAGUAGCGGCGAGCGAAAUUGGACUAGCCCUUAAGCUUUACACGCGUUAGACGAACGGUCUGGAAAGUCCGACGAUACAGGGUGAUAGUCCCGUAGUUGACGACGUGUGUUCAGUGAAAUCGAGUAGGGCGGGACACGUGAUAUCCUGUCUGAAUAUGGGGGGACCAUCCUCCAAGGCUAAAUACUACUGACUGACCGAUAGUGAACCAGUACCGUGAGGGAAAGGCGAAAAGAACCCCUGUGAGGGGAGUGAAAUAGAACCUGAAACCGUGUACGUACAAGCAGUAGGAGCAGGCUUUGUCCUGUGACUGCGUACCUUUUGUAUAAUGGGUCAGCGACUUAUAUUCAGUGGCAAGGUUAACCAUCUAGGGGAGCCGUAGGGAAACCGAGUCUUAACUGGGCGUUCAGUCUCUGGAUAUAGACCCGAAACCAGGUGAUCUAGCCAUGGGCAGGUUGAAGGUUGAGUAACAUCAACUGGAGGACCGAACCGACUAAUGUUGAAAAAUUAGCGGAUGACUUGUGGCUAGGGGUGAAAGGCCAAUCAAACCUGGAGAUAGCUGGUUCUCCCCGAAAGCUAUUUAGGUAGCGCCUCGGACGAAUACUACUGGGGGUAGAGCACUGUUAAGGCUAGGGGGUCAUCCCGACUUACCAACCCUUUGCAAACUCCGAAUACCAGUAAGUACUAUCCGGGAGACACACGGCGGGUGCUAACGUCCGUCGUGGAGAGGGAAACAACCCAGACCGCCAGCUAAGGUCCCAAAUUACUACUAAGUGGGAAACGAUGUGGGAAGGCUCAGACAGCCAGGAUGUUGGCUUAGAAGCAGCCAUCAUUUAAAGAAAGCGUAAUAGCUCACUGGUCGAGUCGGCCUGCGCGGAAGAUGUAACGGGGCUAAGUAGUAAACCGAAGCUGCGGCAAUAUACUUUUGUAUAUUGGGUAGGGGAGCGUUCUGUAAGCGGUUGAAGGUGUGUGGUAACGCAUGCUGGACGUAUCAGAAGUGCGAAUGCUGACAUGAGUAACGAUAAAGGGGGUGAAAAACCUCCUCGCCGGAAGACCAAGGGUUCCUGUCCAACGUUAAUCGGGGCAGGGUAAGUCGACCCCUAAGGCGAGGCCGAAAGGCGUAGUCGAUGGGAAACGGGUUAAUAUUCCCGUACUUCUUACAAUUGCGAUGGGGGGACGGAGAAGGCUAGGUGGGCCUGGCGACGGUUGUCCAGGUUCAAGUGCGUAGGCUUAAGAGUUAGGUAAAUCCGGCUCUUUUUAAGGCUGAGACACGACGUCGAGCACCUACGGGUGUGAAGUCAUUGAUGCCAUGCUUCCAGGAAAAGCCUCUAAGCUUCAGAUUGUAAGGAAUCGUACCCCAAACCGACACAGGUGGUCGGGUAGAGAAUACCAAGGCGCUUGAGAGAACUCGGGUGAAGGAACUAGGCAAAAUGGUACCGUAACUUCGGGAGAAGGUACGCUCUUGAUGGUGAAGUCCCUCGCGGAUGGAGCUGACGAGAGUCGCAGAUACCAGGUGGCUGCAACUGUUUAUUAAAAACACAGCACUGUGCAAAAUCGUAAGAUGACGUAUACGGUGUGACGCCUGCCCGGUGCCGGAAGGUUAAUUGAUGGGGUUAGACUUCGGUCGAAGCUCUUGAUCGAAGCCCCGGUAAACGGCGGCCGUAACUAUAACGGUCCUAAGGUAGCGAAAUUCCUUGUCGGGUAAGUUCCGACCUGCACGAAUGGCGUAAUGAUGGCCACGCUGUCUCCACCCGAGACUCAGUGAAAUUGAAAUCGCUGUGAAGAUGCAGUGUACCCGCGGCUAGACGGAAAGACCCCGUGAACCUUUACUACAGCUUGGCACUGAACAUUGACCCUACAUGUGUAGGAUAGGUGGGAGGCUUUGAAGCACGUACGCCAGUAUGUGUGGAGCCGUCCUUGAAAUACCACCCUUGUAGUGUUGAUGUUCUAACGUCGACCCCUAAUCGGGGUUGCGGACAGUGCCUGGUGGGUAGUUUGACUGGGGCGGUCUCCUCCCAAAGAGUAACGGAGGAGCACGAAGGUGGGCUAAUCACGGUUGGACAUCGUGAGGUUAGUGCAAUGGCAUAAGCCCGCUUGACUGCGAGAAUGACAAUUCGAGCAGGUGCGAAAGCAGGUCAUAGUGAUCCGGUGGUUCUGAAUGGAAGGGCCAUCGCUCAACGGAUAAAAGGUACUCCGGGGAUAACAGGCUGAUACCGCCCAAGAGUUCAUAUCGACGGCGGUGUUUGGCACCUCGAUGUCGGCUCAUCACAUCCUGGGGCUGAAGUCGGUCCCAAGGGUAUGGCUGUUCGCCAUUUAAAGUGGUACGCGAGCUGGGUUUAGAACGUCGUGAGACAGUUCGGUCCCUAUCUGCCGUGGGCGUUGGAAGAUUGAAGGGGGCUGCUCCUAGUACGAGAGGACCGGAGUGGACGAACCUCUGGUGUUCGGGUUGUGUCGCCAGACGCAUUGCCCGGUAGCUAAGUUCGGAAUCGAUAACCGCUGAAAGCAUCUAAGCGGGAAGCGAGCCCUGAGAUGAGUCUUCCCUGAUACUUUAAGUAUCCUAAAGGGUUGUCGGAGACUACGACGUUGAUAGGUCAGGUGUGUAAGUGCUGUGAGGCAUUGAGCUAACUGAUACUAAUUGCCCGUGAGGCUUAACCAU
rnacentral:rRNA from 1 species